UAGGGAAUAUUGGACAAUGGGGGCAACCCUGAUCCAGCCAUGCCGCGUGAGUGAAGAAGGCCCUCGGGUUGUAAAGCUCUUUUGUCCGGAAAGAAAAGCUUCGGGUUAAUACCCCGGGGUUCUGACGGUACCGGAAGAAUAAGCACCGGCUAACUUCGUGCCAGCAGCCGCGGUAAUACGAAGGGUGCAAGCGUUACUCGGAAUUCCUGGGCGUAAAGCGUGCGCAGGCGGUUUUGUACGACAGAUGUGAAAUCCCCGGGCUUAACCUGGGAACUGCGUUUGUGACUGCAAGGCUGGAGUACGGCAGAGGGGGGUGGAAUCCCACGUGUAGCAGUGAAAUGCGUAGAUAUGCGGAGGAACACCGAUGGCGAAGGCAGUCCCCUGGGCCUGUACUGACGCUCAUGCACGAAAGCGUGGGUAGCGAACA
rnacentral:rRNA from 1 species